rnacentral:lncRNA from 1 species
GCUGUCACCGAACUUCCAUUCAAAACCUUGGUCUCCCCGCAGGGAACCCGACUGUCGUAGUUCAGCGGGGGUCCUCCAUAUCCGCAGCACGCCAUCAACGCCUGUUCGAAUCCUGUAAGUCCCUCCAAAUAUAUUAUUAAUAUUUUGCCAAAGUAUUUCAAGAACAAGAGAAACUUUCUUAUUCAUUGUGCUUACCAUAUCUAGAGUAGUUUGCAAUGAGGUUGGACUUAAUUGUGAAAAUGUCGAUGUACGUGAUGUUUGAAUCUUGAUACUGCCCCUGCAACUUUUUGCAGAGAGCAUGCAGCUGCAGGUUGAAUAGCCUUGAAGCUUGAUUGUGAGAACUGACGCAUCCGAGCUCAUCUAGCUUGGACGCGUCCCCUCCAAAUUUGGCAAUGUUUUGAGGCAGGCAGCCGAGGGGGCCCGUGUUGUGAAUCCAGAAGU